UGACCCUUUUUAAAGCCGAGGGUCACCUAGCCAACUGACGUUGUUAGUGAACCUACUUUGUUCACUUAUUUAUUACAGCCAAUUGCUUCUUAUAGCGAUUGGCUUUUUUUUG
rnacentral:sRNA from 1 species